GCCUGAGGCCAGAGCACCCCAACGGGGAGGGGCAGCCAUAUGUAUAGUGCCUUUACUCUGAAUCUUCUGAGGAACUGGGAGAUUUUUGUUUCCCCUGGGCCCUGGCCCAGAAGGGGAUAGAUGGCGGGCCCUGCGUUCUACCCAGGUUGGUGAGCCUUAAACUGUUUUUCUUGCUCCUGCCAGCACUGCUUCCUGAAGCCCGUGUCUUAGUCCACACAUCCCGGCCUUUUUCCAGGAGCACCUUGGCGGACAGUCGUCCCUUUGAAGCUGUCCUGAAACCCACCCCUCUGACUGACUCCAUCUCCACCCUGCUUAGAUGUUGAUGUCUGCCUGGGUAGGAAUAUCAACCAAGUAAUGGAGAAAUCAAAUCUGAAAGGAAUGUCUCACAGGCUAAGGAACUCACUCAGCAAGAGAUGACGGAAGAAUUCUAAGAUGAACAUCGGUAAGGAAGAAAAGAAUCCUUUUGAAAAACUUUGGUUUCUGCAAGGCAUUCCUAAAGAGACCCAAGUGACUUAUGCAAAGAAGAACUCUGAACCUUAAAGAAAAAUGGGUCUACAUAAUGACUGUUACAACUCAAGAGAGUCCAACAUGUCAGUAAUGGGAACGAACGAUGAGCCCCUGAUAUGGCACCAGCCCUUGAGGGGAUCAACCACCACCUUGAUGCUUGCAGAACCUCAGCCUGCCUCUCAACCACCUCCUGAGAGUGUUUGAUCCACCAACAUAGAAUCCUGCUUGACAUUUUCUUGGAUCAAAGAAGCCACUUUACAGCAAAGGAGGGAUAUAAAAAGAGUGACUAUUUUAAUUCUUCAAUACCAUUUAAGGAAUUCACACAUUUGCUUACUCUGGAAAGUGUGUAAUUGUGUUUACUAAAACAUAUGGAUGUUUACUAUAAAUGCUUCAUUCCCAGGAUCUGCUUUCACAUGUGCAUAUCAGGCAUAAUGAUAAUAUUUUAACCCUGGUAAAGUAAUGCAUGCUAUAUAAAUGUGUAUAAUGUGCUUCACAAGAUCAUUUUCAUCCUCAUGUUAAUUAUUUGAGUAAAAUGCAAAUAUUUAAUUGAAUGUAAAAAUUGAUCCUAUACAUAUUUAUUUGCUCUAUCUAUUCUUGGUGUAAACUCAGCAUGAUUACUACGAGCAUAAUUUCAACUGACUUCUAUGAAGAAGAUUUCACAGUCACCUGAAGGAACAGCCUGCAGCCGUCAGUAUGGAGAGCCUCCAAAGGAGCUUGCAAAAUCUUGGGAGGAUUUCUUAAAUCUUAUGAAAAAAAGAAAGAAAGAAAGUAAAAGGAGAUUUCUCCUCAAAAAGAAGUCUGAAAAUGCAGCAUUAGAAACCAGAGAGUUCUUAAUCUAUGGACAUUUCAGACUCUUACUACAAAGGUUUCUCUUUCAUUGUUCAUUUUACAUUAUGGUCUGUCUCAUUUCAACAGUUCUUAAAAAUUGCUGCAUAUUCUUAAGCCACAAAAACAGACGAAAAUUGAGAUGUAAAAUUUUCGUACUUUGAAAGCAGUUGCAAAAUUUUUUCUUUAAAGGGAUCCCACACAAACAAGUGAUAAAAUCAAUGCAUUAAGAGAAGCUAGAAUACAAUAUGGUGUGGUUUACCAGUAAAUGUAAGCAAGUUUACUUGAUUUUAUUUCUAUCAAAAUGUGUCUUGAAAAUUUCACUGAUUAUAGGUCUUCUCUUUUCAGCAUAUUGUUUAGAGGAUAAAGGACAGAAAUACUGAUGAAAAAAGAAUGGAUGGGUUUUUUGAAUCCCAAAUCUUGCUGUUAGUAUGUUCAUAAGCCAUAUGUGAAUGUUACAGUUCCAUACUUUUUUGCCCUUUUUAGGAUAAAGCCAAAAUAUUUUACA